rnacentral:rRNA from 1 species
ACGCUCGACACCUACGGAGGCAGCAGUGGGGAAUAUUGCACAAUGGGGGAAACCCUGAUGCAGCGACGCCGCGUGAAGGAAGAAGUAUCUCGGUAUGUAAACUUCUAUCAGCAGGGAAGAAAAUGACGGUACCUGACUAAGAAGCCCCGGCUAACUACGUGCCAGCACGCCGUAGUAUCNGNGCGGNGNGACGAG